GAGUUUGAUCCUGGCUCAGAUUGAACGCUGGCGGCAGGCCUAACACAUGCAAGUCGAGCGGAUGACGGGAGCUUGCUCCUUGAUUCAGCGGCGGACGGGUGAGUAAUGCCUAGGAAUCUGCCUGGUAGUGGGGGACAACGUUUCGAAAGGAACGCUAAUACCGCAUACGUCCUACGGGAGAAAGCAGGGGACCUUCGGGCCUUGCGCUAUCAGA
rnacentral:rRNA from 1 species